rnacentral:rRNA from 1 species
GCAUAUCAAUAAGCGGAGGAAAAGAAACUAACAAGGAUUCCCCUAGUAACGGCGAGUGAAGCGGGAAGAGCUCAAAUUUGAAAUCUGGUGGCCUCAGGCGUCCGAGUUGUAAUCUAUAGAGGCGUUUUCCGCGCCGGACCGCGUCCAAGUCUCUUGGAAUAGAGUAUCAAAGAGGGUGACAAUCCCGUACUUGACGCGACAACCGGUGCUCUGUGAUACGUUCUCAAUGAGUCGAGUUGUUUGGGAAUGCAGCUCUAAAUGGGUGGUAAAUUCCAUCUAAGGCUAAAUAUUGGCGAGAGACCGAUAGCGAACAAGUACCGUGAGGGAAAGAUGAAAAGCACUUUGGAAAGAGAGUUAAACAGCACGUGAAAUUGUUAAAAGGGAAACGAUUGAAGUCAGUCGUGUGAAAGGUAUACAGCCGUCUCUGGCGGUGUAUUUGCCUUUCACGGGUCAACAUCAGUUUGAUCCGGUAGAAAAAGGCGGAAUGAAGGUGGCACCCUCGGGUGUGUUAUAGCUUUCUGUCAUAUGUGCCGGACCAGACUGAGGAACGCAGCUUGCCGCAAGGCCGGGGUUCGCCCACGUACAAGCUUAGGAUGUUGACAUAAUAGCUUUAAACGACCCGUCUUGAAACACGGACC